AGAGUUUGAUCAUGGCUCAGAUUGAACGCUGGCGGCAUGCCUUACACAUGCAAGUCGAACGGCAGCACGGGAGCAAUCCUGGUGGCGAGUGGCGAACGGGUGAGUAAUACAUCGGAACGUGCCCUGUCGUGGGGGAUAACUAGUCGAAAGAUUAGCUAAUACCGCAUACGACCUGAGGGUGAAAGCGGGGGACCGCAAGGCCUCGCGCGAUAGGAGCGGCCGAUGUCUGAUUAGCUAGUUGGUGGGGUAAAGGCCCACCAAGGCGACGAUCAGUAGCUGGUCUGAGAGGACGAUCAGCCACACUGGGACUGAGACACGGCCCAGACUCCUACGGGAGGCAGCAGUGGGGAAUUUUGGACAAUGGGGGCAACCCUGAUCCAGCAAUGCCGCGUGUGUGAAGAAGGCCUUCGGGUUGUAAAGCACUUUUGUCCGGAAAGAAAUCCCUUGCCCUAAUACGGCGGGGGGAUGACGGUACCGGAAGAAUAAGCACCGGCUAACUACGUGCCAGCAGCCGCGGUAAUACGUAGGGUGCGAGCGUUAAUCGGAAUUACUGGGCGUAAAGCGUGCGCAGGCGGUUUUGUAAGACAGGCGUGAAAUCCCCGAGCUCAACUUGGGAAUGGCGCUUGUGACUGCAAGGCUAGAGUAUGUCAGAGGGGGGUAGAAUUCCACGUAGCAGUGAAAUGCGUAGAGAUGUGGAGGAAUACCGAUGGCGAAGGCAGCCCCCUGGGACGUCACUGACGCUCAUGCACGAAAGCGUGGGGAGCAAACAGGAUUAGAUACCCUAGUAGUCC
rnacentral:rRNA from 1 species